UUAACGCAGUGGUUUUUCAUUCACCACGAGGGAGACCUUGAGGACCAGAUAGCACCCCAAAUACCCGCGUUAUUUGGGGUUCCUCUGGCGACGUGGGCGGUGCGUGUCGUCGGUUGACGAGGGCGAGCGAGAGCGAGGCCUGCUACAGGAUUCCGGAAUUGCUGUAUUGGUACACGUGAAAUUGAGCCGAGCGCUCGGUGUUUCUCACACACACCGGAGCAAACGCUGAUGAACAUGGCCACCACUGACCCCGAGCUGUAUCCGAGGAAGAUCCUGCAGUACAUGGAGGGAUUCCUGGUGUCGAAGACGCUGUUCUCUGCCUGUGAGCUGGGAGUGUUUGAGCUUCUGAACGAGUCUGCGAUGUCUGUGUGUCAGCUGUGUGAGGCUCUGAACACCAGUGAGGACGGCACUGAACGCUUGCUGUCUGCGUGUGUCGGCCUGGAGCUUCUCAACGCACACACACACCCUGACGGAACAGGUACUGCACACACACACACACACACACACACACACAGCCU